rnacentral:rRNA from 1 species
UGGGGAAUAUUGCACAAUGGGGGAAACCCUGAUGCAGCAACGCCGCGUGAGUGAUGACGGUCUUCGGAUUGUAAAGCUCUGUCUUCAGGGACGAUAAUGACGGUACCUGAGGAGGAAGCCACGGCUAACUACGUGCCAGCAGCCGCGGUAAUACGUAGGUGGCAAGCGUUGUCCGGAUUUACUGGGCGUAAAGGGAGCGUAGGUGGAUAUUUAAGUGGGAUGUGAAAUACUCGGGCUUAACCUGGGUGCUGCAUUCCAAACUGGACAUCUAGAGUGCAGGAGAGGAAAGUAGAAUUCCUAGUGUAGCGGUGAAAUGCGUAGAGAUUAGGAAGAAUACCAGUGGCGAAGGCGACUUUCUGGACUGUAACUGACACUGAGGCUCGAAAGCGUGGGGAGCAAACA